CGGGGAGCACCACAACGGGUGGAGCUUGCGGUUUAAUUGGAUUCAACGCCGGAAAUCUUACCGGGACCGACAGCGAUAUGAAGGCCAGGCUGAAGACUUUGCCGGAUUAGCUGAGAGGUGGUGCAUGGCCGUCGUCAGUUCGUACUGUGAAGCAUCCUGUUAAGUCAGGCAACGAGCGAGACCCACGCCCACAGUUGCCAGCGUACUCUCCGGAGUGACGGGUACACUGUGGGGACCGCCGCUGCUAAAGAGGAGGAAGGAAUGGGCAACGGUAGGUCAGCAUGCCCCGAAUUAUCUGGGCUACACGCGGGCUACAAUGGGUGGGACAAUGGGUAUCGACACCGAAAGGUGAGGGCAAUCUCCUAAACCCAUCCGUAGUUCGGAUUGUGGGCUGCAACUCGCCCACAUGAAGCUGGAAUCUGUAGUAAUCGUGUCUCAAAAUGGCACGGUGAAUAUGUCCCUGCUCCUU
rnacentral:rRNA from 1 species